rnacentral:rRNA from 1 species
GUCCAUGCCGUAAACGAUGGGUUCUAGUUGGUGCGGGUAUUGACCCCUGCGCUGACGAAGCUAACGCGUUAAGCACCCCGCCUGGGGAGUACGGCCGCAAGGCUAAAAACUCAAAGGAAUUGACGGGGGCCCGCACAAGCAGUGGAGCAUGUGGAUUAAUUCGACGCAACGCGCAGAACCUUACCUGGUCUUGACAUCCCAGGAAUCCCGCUGAGAGGCGGUAGUGCCCUUCGGGGAACCUGGAGACAGGUGCUGCAUGGCUGUCGU